UACGGGAGGCAGCAGUAAGGAAUAUUGGUCAAUGGAAGGAAUUCUGAACCAGCCAUGCCGCGUGCAGGAAGAAUGCCUUAUGGGUUGUAAACUGCUUUUAUUAGAGACUAAAGAUAGAUACGAGUAUUUAGAUGAAUGUAUCUAAUGAAUAAGCAUCGGCUAACUCCGUGCCAGCAGCCGCGGUAAU
rnacentral:rRNA from 1 species